UUUUACAGUAAAAAACAUGAUUUAUUAUGAUAACAGGGGAGCUCUAGUAAACACACAUAACUUAAUUCUCCAAAGUGGAUUUACAUAUUCUAAACCACAUCUUAAAGGUGCUUAUUAAAUGUUUAUUUAACAUCUGACAGGAACAUCUUCUUUAAGUAUUAUGGCUUAUGAGUGAUGGAUUAUGUAUGAGUGAGGUAUGUGUGCUAUUAUGUAGAAUUCACUGUUGUCAACACUGCUUACAUUACAUGAAUGAAAAUAACGUAAAUAAAUAAAUCUACAUAAAAUAAACAUAAGUUUAAUCUAUUUUAUUUGUCCAUUAGUACUGUUGGUAAAUUAAGGAACAUUUGUAUUGGAUAAAAAGAGAGUUAACACAUCAUAAACAUGUAAAUGUAGAUUUAGGCACAUAAAUCUCAGAGGAAACUUGAAUCUUGUCUGGAUGUUACAGGGACAGAUGAUCACACGUGUGUUUAUCCGGUGAUGAAGGAAUGCUGCCAUCAAAGGCUCUGAAUGAGGAUACUACAGAAAUGAAUAAGUCUAUUUAAAUCUAAAGUCUAGUUUAUUUUAAUUAUUGUAAUUUAAACAGAGUUAUUACAGCACUUUUCUGAAUCUUGAUUUCUGUGCAUUUGCUGCAGAGCUUUGUGGUGAAGCAGGACCUACAAGACAAGGUGACUGCAGCAAAAAAGAAAAACCUGAAACAAAAAUAUAAAGAUGUGAAAUGUCCUCAGACUGGUGUGAGCACUGAGGAUGGAGAGCCAUAGCAGGUCCUGGAAAUGGUGUAGAGCCAUGGACGAGACGCUCCAUCACUCCUCCUUCCAAGUGACUUGAUCAAGGACACACUGGAGGUGAUGCUGGAGAGGUUGAACCAGCAACCUUCUGCUGACCAGCUCAGUGGUUUAGCCCACCACACCACAAAAUCAUGCUAAUGGAGAGAACAUGAAUCUUUGCAGCAGCCAGAUUGUCCUGCACAUCUUCUCCCACUCUUGCUUCAAUGUUGUGGGGUUCAGGGGUCCAUCAUCAUCAUCUUCCUCAUCCUCUGGAUCAACGAUGUCCCCACUGAGAAGAGCAGCAGUGAGGGACAUGAUGGAUGAAGGUGUUCAUCAGCUGCUUCAUCAGAAUAAAGCUGCAGAAUGGGCACAGCUGUGUGAGAUGGCAGUAGGAUUGUAAAUACGUGAUUGUUAGAUCAAUACAUUUGAAUAAAGCUUUGUUUCAUGUGUUGUUGACUUGUAUAUGCGUUUAUUUAUUGUCAUUAUUACAUUAAUUCUUUUACUU